CGAUCGUGACCACCUACACAUAUGGCUGUACGGACGAUGAUGCAUUAGUAGACUCCAUCCGAAAUAUCCAAUAGUAAAGUACCAGCAAGAAAAUCGUAUUAAUAAAUUGAGAACGACAAAUCAUCAUUACAAUUUGAUGCUAAUCACAUUCUACGUAAUUCAGAAGAAAAGUUGAGAAAAAGGACGAGAAGAGAAAAUAAUUUUACCUUCGAUCAGCCAUUCACCGGAUGCGCCCCAACCAGUGCACACUCCAAAGUAACCGAUUCCAAACGGUUCUGGAUCAGCAUAAGUUAGGAAUGCACUUGGUUCGCCUUCUUUACCUACUGAUAUAACACCAUCAUCCCAUCUGAAA